rnacentral:rRNA from 1 species
GGAGUGGCUCUCGGCGCAUCCGCCUAUGGUGUGACGCGCCGACCGCUCCAUCCUCGCGGGGAAGGCAGCUCCUUAACUGGGGUUGUUCGGACUCGCGUCCUUUACUGUGAAAAAAUUAGAGUGUUUAAAGCAGGCCUAGAGCUUGAAUACAUUAGCAUGGAAUAAUGAGAUAGGACUUCGGUGCUAUUUUGUUGGUUGCGUACCGAGGUA